UCCUCAGUAUCUCAGUGGUAUAGCAGUCGGUUAUUAAUCGAUUGGUCGUAGGUUCAAAUCCUACUUGGGAAG
rnacentral:tRNA from 1 species